AAAAAGAAAAGAAAGAAAGGAUUUGAAUCCUCAAAAAAAAAAAAAAGAAAGAAAGAAAAAGAAAAAAGAAAUGUUCGACAUCCUUAGUCAUCAGGGAAAUGCAAAUCAAAAGAACCCUGAGAUUCCUCCUCACAAAAAAAAAAAAAAAAAAAAAAAAGAUACUGUUGGAUCAUAAAAGGCAGUCUGGUUUCCGGUUGAGCUACUGAAGGGAUAGUGUUUUGCCUGACUCCUUGUGAACCUGGUCCAUUACUAGCUGCAGUCCUACAUAGAUUCGUGGCCAUCAGUCACAUAAGGGCAACACCCCAAACCCUUCCACAGGUAGAGGACUUCCACACAUCCUCUUAGGCUUAAGACAGAUCUCCAUUAUACUGAGGCACCUAAAGGCUUGGAGGCUUAGCCAAUAACCUUUCCUUCCCAGACACUCCUCACUGCAAAAGGUAUUUAAUCUCAAGCCCACCCUGAGAAGCAGGGUACGGUUUUACUUAUCCACCUUUCGCCAUGAGAAUAAAUGCCUUAAAGCCAUGAACCACAUCUUUUCAUUGGGAUCCGUCAUAGGGAGCCACAGGAAAGGCCUUUGCUGCCAUCUAAUCUCCCAAAGAAGACCUCUCUGUGCUCCCAGCCACGGCUGCCACCAAGCCUGCAGCUUGCCACCAUCAAGCCAAGGACUAUUCCUGUGGAACCAGCUGUUUCCCCCUCUUUCCCCCUUGGCCCCGAGGCUAGAUCCAGCCUGAGGGCCACCACUCUGUUCUCAGCUCUUUUACUGCUUACAGACGGAUGCCAAGAGCCUGAGACUCCAAUGAUCCAGCCUCCUUGGAGGCCCAGGGACCCCCAAGCCAGCUCAGGCUGUGUCCUGUGCACUUCCCCACUCCUGGAGCGGUGUCCCGGGACUGCUGUAUGACCUGACACCAGCCCCGCAAUUGCGUGGGGAAUAUUUACUACAAUGAAACUCAAGGUUCAUGAAGAGUCAAAUGAUCGAGACAAUUUAGGGAAUUUUUUUGCAUAAUAAAAAUAGACACCAAAGAAUUUUAAUCACA